AGAGUUUGAUCAUGGCUCAGGAUGAACGCUAGCUACAGGCUUAACACAUGCAAGUCGAGGGGAAACGACAUCGAAAGCUUGCUUUUGAUGGGCGUCGACCGGCGCACGGGUGAGUAACGCGUAUCCAACCUGCCCACCACUUGGGGAUAACCUUGCGAAAGUAAGACUAAUACCCAAUGAUAUCUCUAGAAGACAUCUGAAAGAGAUUAAAGAUUUAUCGGUGAUGGAUGGGGAUGCGUCUGAUUAGCUUGUUGGCGGGUAACGGCCACCAAGGCGACGAUCAGUAGGGGUUCUGAGACGGAAGGUCCCCCANAUUGGAACUGAGACACGGUCCAAACGUCCUACGGGAGGC
rnacentral:rRNA from 1 species